GACGAACGCUGGCGGCGUGCCUAAUACAUGCAAGUCGAACGCAGUGGGGACGGGUGAGUAACACGUGGGUAACCUCCCAUCAGAGGGGAUAACCAUUGGAAACAGGUGCUAAACCGCUACUGAUGGAUGGACCCGCGGUGCAUUAGCUAGUGGGUGAGGUAACGGCCCACCAAGGCCACGAUGCAUAGCGGGCCUGAGAGGAUGAGCGGCCACACUGGGACUGAGACACGGCCCAGACUCCUACGGGAGGCAGCAGUGGGGAAUCUUCGGCAAUGGACGAAAGUCUGACCGAGCAACGCCGCGUGAGGGAAGAAGGUUUUCGGAUCGUAAAGCUCUGUUGUUAGAGAGGCGGUAUCUAACCAGAAAGCCACGGCUAACUACGUGCCAGCAGCCGCGGUAAUAC
rnacentral:rRNA from 1 species